UACAGAGGUCUCAAGCUGUUGUUCGGAUUCAUUGGGCGUAAAGGGUGCGUAGGCGGCGCGGUAAGUCGGGUGUGAAAUCUCGGAGCUUAACUCCGAAACUGCAUUCGAUACUGCCGUGCUUGAGGACUGGAGAGGAGACUGGAAUUUACGGUGUAGCGGUGAAAUGCGUAGAUAUCGUAAGGAAGACCAGUGGCGAAGGCGGGUCUCUGGACAGUUCCUGACGCUGAGGCACGAAGGCCAGGGGAGCAAACGGG
rnacentral:rRNA from 1 species